rnacentral:lncRNA from 1 species
ACAACUAAACUAUUGCAUACUUAAAACUUUUACUCUUGUUGACUUCCUGGUCUAUCCCGAACCUGCAAACCUGGGGGUUAAGGAAAAGGGGUGAGCUACUAGAUCCCAAUGAGCAUAAUAGUAAAAUAAUAUAUUAAAAUCUAUGCUUUCAUGAAAUGCAUCACAUCACAAACAAAUCACAUCAAGGAUGUACUUGUCACCAAUAGCCCUCUACAUAUCCAAUUGUGCCAGGGACGUAGAAUGGGCCUCACUGGUCUUUCUCUUAACAUAACAUAACAUAACAUUCCAAUGUGCCAGGGGCGUAGAAUGGGCCUCACUGGUCUUUCUCUUACUCUGUGCCAGGGGCAUAGAAUGGGCCUCACUAGACUUCCGUACCAUAUCAUCGUCAUCAUAUCAUAUCGAGGACUAAUGAGUCAUCCAACAUCCAUCCACAUCAACAUCAUAGUAUGCAAUGCAACAUAUUCGUGAAUCCUAAUGCAAACAACCUAAUAUAUCUCAUGGCAUUCGUGAUGCAUGAAUAUGCUCAAAAUUUAUUUACUUUGAAACAUAAAGAUCCAUUCUACUCACCUCAGGCUGACUCUAAAAAUACUCUGAAACAGCUAUCUCACUGCUAGGGUCCUCGGUUCCUCGGGUCCGAACCUACACAGGUGGACUCAAAUGAGGGACCAAACAUACACUAUCAUGACUCUAAACAUCUCCCCAAAAACCCCCCUAAAACAUCAUAAAACAAUCAUAGAAAACGUGCAAAGGAAGGCUGGACAGGGCACUUUCGGUGGCAGGUUCGGCGGUCGAAAGUCCCUCCAGAGCGGAAAGUCAGGCACUUUCGGGGGCAGGGUUCGGCGGCCAAAAGUCUGUCCAGAGCCAAAAGUCACCAACCUUCAGCGGCAGGUUCAGCGGCUGAAACUCCACUCCAAAGCCGAAAGUCCAAACUUUCGAGGGCAAGUUUAGGCGGCCAAACCACUUCCACAGGCAGAUUCGGCGGUCGAACAUGGUUUCGACAGCCGAACCUGAGUUCUUCCAUAAUGGCAGAACUCAAGCCUCCCACACACAUUCAGCCAACCAAAUCUCACAACUCAAACCAACUCAUGCAAAAACAUGCAUAAACACAUUCUUAAGCAUUUAGGGGCUUAAAAUUAGCCUAUACCCCAACCACAUCAACAUUUAGCAUACAUUUAAUCAUGCAUUUAACCUUAAACUACCAUAAACCCUAUCAUUUUACAACUAGCCUAAUCAUGCAUCUUUACCCCAUAACCCUUCAUAACACUUGCUUAAAACAUCAAAGAUGGUGAGGAUCGACGCUUACCUCUUGAAGAUUGAGAGAAGGCGUGACCCAACUUGGAGAUUUGGGGAAAACGAGUUCCGGAGGUUUCCAAGCUUCACAACUUCGAUUUUGAGCUUAAAAACUUCAAAACAAGAUGAAAGCUUGUUAAAAGCUUGAAAGAUUUGAAGGAAAACAUCAAAACUAACCAUGGAAGGGUAUGGACUAACUUUUGUCCGAAAAUGGAGAAGAAAACUCGUCCAUUUUUGGACAUGGGGCCUUUUAUAGGUGGCUGGUCAGACCACCUUCGGGGGCCAAAGGUGCUCCCUAAACUUCACCAUGUUCGGUGGCCGAACCUGACUUUCCUUCCUUUGUGCUUUUCUUUUAAAAACUCAAUUUCUUUCAUUCUUAAAACCUUAAAACACAUGAAAAUAUUUUAGAAAAACAUAUUUUACCCUUCUAGAGAGUUCCGACAUCCGAGAUUCCGCCGGAAAGUAGGAAUUCUGGUGCCGGGGUCUAGCCGGGUAUUACAGUACUAGUCCCUACUUUGAUUAAAACCCCCAAACUCAUUUCUUGAACAUUUGGGUGGAUUUUUUUUCUCUUUUUUUUACUCUCUUUUCUUUUUAUUAUUUUGUUUUUUUUUUUUUAUAUUGUAAACUAAUACUCUCGUUAGGGUGGAUAAGUGUUUAGAUUAAGGAUUAGGUCAUAAUAUGGUUCCAAAUAAAUAAUGAUAAAUUAAGAUUCAACAUGGAUGCAAGAGGAUUAUUGUAGGAAAUGGUAGGUAAGGCUAUUGAAGUGGAUUUAAACAAAAAAUACUUAAAUCCUAUGGCUUUUUGCUUUUUCAAGGUAUAAAAAAAAAUUUCUCAAAUUCUAAUCUGAAAAAUUUUUUUUUCCGAAUCAAGAUAAAAGCUGACUCUAUCAUACUUUAAAAGCACAAUAAAGCUUACCGCGUUUUUAAAGCGCAAUAGAAAAAAAUAACUAAAAAGAAAACUUAAAUAUAUUACUGCACAGUAAUACAUGGUGCUGCUCUUCCGUAUUUCAAUUAAUUUAAAUUAUAAAUUUAAUUUUUAUUUAAUUAAUUAUUAUAUUUUAUUUUAUAAAUUUAAAUUAUUUAAUUAUAUAUUAAAUUUAUAAAAUAUAAUUAUAAAAAUUAUACUAAUAUUAAUAUUAAUUAAUUCAGAUUAUUUAUGAUAUAAUAUUAUAUUUAUCAUAUUUACUACUUAGGUCACGCGAAUAUUAAAAAUCAAUAUUCAUAAAGUAUUGUGAGAGAAAUAUGAGAAAAUAGAGAAAAAUUAUGAAGAAAAUACGAAAUAAAAUAAAUUUUAAUUUUUUAUAAUUUUUAUAAUUCAUAAAUAUUUAUAUUAAAUAUUUAUAAAUUAAUUAUAAUAAAAAUAAUAAAAUAAAAUAAUAAAUAUGAAAAAUAUAAUAUUUUAUUGUAAAUAAAUUAAAACAAUUAAUAUUUAUAAUAAUAUUAAUAUAAUUUUUAUAAUUAUAUUUAUAUAAAUUUAAUAUAUAAUUAAUUAAAUUAUAUAAAUUAAUAAAAUAAAUUACUAAAUAUGAUAUUAUAUUACAAAUAAUUUAAAUUAAUUAAUAUUAAUAUUAAUAUAAUUUUUAUAAAUGUAUUUUAUAAAUUUAAUAUAUAAUUAAAUAAUUUAAAUUAAUAAAAUAAAAAUUAAAUUUAUAAUUUAAAUUAAUUGAAGUAUGACACAGCGGCCCCAUACAUUACCGCACUUUAAAAGAUUUUUUUCCCAUCUUGCUUUAUCCAUCUAUUGCAUUUUAAGAGUGACUUUUCACUGGGACUGGGAAUCGAAAAUCUUUUUUUCCAUUUUAUCUUGAAAAAGUAAAAAAAAACCCUAAAUUCUAUCUCUUUUCAAGUGCAAACUAAAAAUUUCGUCUCAAUAAAUCUAUAGAGUUUGUUAUAGAAAUGGUGAGAUAUCAAUAAAUCAAAUAUUGCCUAGAGCACUCAAAAUUACUUGUAACUAUUAAUAAAAACAUAUCUAGAUCAAUUCACUAAUCUUUAAUCAAAAAAUAAAAACUAAAAUAAUUUGUCAACAUCCUUACACCUAUUAGACACAAUCAAUCCAACUAACUCUCUAAGAGCAAGAAAGAUUAUUUUUCAAAGAAAUUAAACUUUUAUAAAGAUAAUAAAAACAAGAAAAUCUAUCAUGAAAUGCAUGUCAAAAAAACAAAAUUGUAAAAAACCUAUAUGAUGCAUGUAUGUGUAAAAGUAUAUGAACGUAUAUAUAUAUAUAUAUGUAUGUACGUAUGCGUGUGGAAAUAUAAUUAUAUGCAAUAUCUAUUCAUGUAAUAUAUAUAACCUAUAUGAUAGCAUAAGAAAUUUUUUUCUUUUAAAAACUUUACAAAAAUUUCGCUCAAUAUCUCCAAACUCAAAUCAGACAUUGUCCCAAAUGUCCACACGACAAAAUUAGCAAAAUACGAAUUAAAAUAGAAUUAGAUUAUAAAAUUGUUCACCAAUAUGCACAAAACUAAUGAACAUAAGAAUUGAAAGAAUUAUACCUGUUCAUGCUUUAAAAAUUUUACAAACUAUAACUUGAUUUCUGUAAGCCUAUAACAAUUAGAAGCUGUACACACAAAAAGAACAUAGACAAUUGAAGGGAAAUGGCAUUAAGCUUACAAAUAAUAACAAUAAUACAUUUCAAUUAUACAAUCCACUAAAGCACAAGGUUUAUCAGACAUCAAUAUUAGACAUCAAUAUUCAAAAAAUUUUUUCAUUUCUGUUCUUUUUUUUAUAUAUAUAUAAAAAGAGCUCAAGUUGCAUAGGACAUGCCGCAGCUAGGGGUGAGCAGUAUUCGGUUCAAACCGAAAAAUCGACCGAACCAAAUCGAUUUGAAAAUUUGGUUCAGUUUUUUAUAUAUUUCGGUUCGGUUCGAUUUUUAAUUUCAGAAAUUUUGGUUAUUUAGGUUCAGUUCGGUUUUGAUCAGAAAAAAAACCGAAAAAUCCGAACCGAACCAAUUAGUGAUAAUAAUAUAUUUUUUCAAUAAUAUAGAGAAAUUAAAUCAUAUUAAAAUUAAAAUAUUUUAAUUAAAUUUUAAAAUAUUAAAAAUAAAGUGUAAAAAAUAAAAUAAUUAUUAAAAAUCGAAAUCGAUUAAACCGAACCGAAUCGAACCGAAUCGAACCGGUUCGAUUCGAUUUGGUUUCUAACCAAAAUCGGUUCGGUUCAGUUUUCAUAAACAUUAAAAUUUUGGUUUUUGAUUUAUUCGGUUCGAUUCGGUUUUAAACCGAACCGACCGAAUGCUCACUCCUAGCCACAGCUGUGCAACUGCUUUUACAACCCACUGACCUUAUCUUUUAUUUUGCAUUAAAGUUUCAUUAAGGAGAUCAAAAAGUAGGUUGCAUAAGACAUGGCACAAUUGUGCCACUGUUUAUGCAACCUAUUUGACUUUAAAAUUUCUACUCUUUAAAAUAAAAGUAAAAAUAAAGAGAAUGCAUGAAACUUUAACAAACACUGAAAUAAAACAUUUUUUUCAUUAAAUUAACACCCAAAAUAUUCUAAAAACUUAUUUAAAGUCUUUAAAUAUGAAUUAAAAACCUUUAAAAUCAAUCAUUUCUCAUCUAAAUUCUUAACAAUUAUGUGCAAAUUAAUACCUCAUUAAUCUCAACAUCAAUCAAAUAUCCACAAAUCAAAAUUUUCAAUUAUAUUUCUACAAAAAGCAAAUUAAAGAGAACUUCCCUUUCUUCCUUUAGCGUUUUAUGAACCGUCUCUAAGCCAUUAAUUAACUAUUCCUUCAUAAUAAUUAAGCUUAAUAUCUACAAAAUAACAAUAGGCAUGUCAAAUUCAAAAUUUGAGGAUUAUAAAACUUUAAAAGAGUAAUAAGAAAAAUAUAAAAUUAAAAUAUUGAAAAAUUUGGAUUGUCUCUCAAUAAGCGCUUGUUUUACGUCACUAGCUUGACUUCUUCAAGAGACUUUCAAGGUGGAUCAAAUGUGUAGAAAUUGUCUCCUUUCUUCAUAGGUGCACCAAUAUAUUUGAAUUUCAACUUUCUUCCAUUGCAUAUGAAGACAUAUUUUACUUUAUCAAGAACUCUUAUCACACUUAAAGAGUAUACUUAAAAAAUUUUCCUUUCUUGGACUUUUUGGCUUUGUGAGAAUAUGAAGAUUUAAGUUUGACAUUUGGAACUCCUUUUUAACUCAAUGAAGAUGACCAAUCUUGUUCUUUUAUUCCCUCUUACAAAUUUUGCUCUUGAGAAUGUAAAUUAUCAUUGUCAUCUUCAAACAACUUUAUAAAUGCAGCAGAAAUUUCAUCAUUUUCUAGCACAUCCACUCUAAGUCAAAAACUUACUGUAGCUAGGGUGUUGUGAGCUUUAGGUUCAAACAAAUUAAACUCUACCUCUUCUUCUUCAACCUCUGAUUUAAGCCUUCCAUUCUUGACAUCAAUAAUUGCUCCUGCAGUAGCUAGGAAAGGUCUUUCAAGAAUAAUAGGAAUGUUAACAUCUUCUAUUUCUAACACCACAUGGUCAACCAGAAUGAAUUUGCCCACUUUUAAAGGCACAUUUUCUAAAAUUCCUAUAGUAUACUUGAUUGACCUAUCCGCUAGUUACAAUGAGAUAGUAGUAGGCUUGAAAUCAGCUAUUUUCAACUUCUGAAAGAUAGAUAGAGGCAAAAUACUUACACUUGCUCCCAAGUCAAAUAAAACUUUUCCAAUGUUGGUUUCACCAAUUUGGUAUGGGAUUGAGAAACUUUCCGGGUCUUUCAACUUUGGAGGUAACUUAUUUUACUACAAAGCACUACAUUCCUCUAUUAAUGUCACAGUCUCAUACUCCUCUAAUCUCCUCUUAUUAGAUAGGAUAUCCUUUAAGGACUUGCAAUAUGAUAGCAUUUGACACAAGGCAUCAAUGAAGAGUAUAUUGACAUAGAAUUUCUUUAAAACCUCAAGGAACUUGCCAAAUUGUAUGUCGAGCUUAGCCUUUUGGAAUCUUUGUGGAAAAGGCAAAAGUGACUUAUAAGGCUCCGGUAGGAUAUAUCUUGCAUCUUCUUCUUUUUCAACUUCUUUUUCUUUCUCAAUCUCUUGUUUUUCACUAACUCUUUCUUUUCACUAAGCUCAUCUUUCUUCUCUUCUUUUGAAUUGUCUUUUCUCUCAUAUUUUUCUCUCUCAACAAAGUUUUCUGUUUGGGAAAUUACUUCUUAGUCCCUGAGGUUUAACGUAAUUAAUACUUCUGUCCCUCUAUUUUGGUGACCCAACACUUAAGUCCCUCACUUUCUCUUCCGUCCAAAUUCAUAGUCCUUCCGUCCAUUUAAACCGUUUGGUCAAAGAGUCAAAGGUGAGAGGUGAUGAUUUUUUCCAAAAAUACCCUUCUCUCAAUGUGAAAUUCCUAUUUUUUUCUCUUUCAUGUUUUCUCCAGUUGAAGAAGAAGAAGAAGAAGAAGAAGAAGAAGAAGAAGAAGUUGCAGAAAGGGUAGGAAGAAGAAGAAGAAGUUGCAGAAAUGGUAGGAAGAAGAAGAAGAAAGAAGAAGAAGAAGUUGCAAAAAGGGUAGGAAGAAGAAGAAGAAGAAGAAGAAGAAGAAAGAAGUUGCAAAAAGGGUAGGAAGAAGAAGAAGAAGAAGAAAGAAGAAGAAGAAAAAAGAAGAAGAAGAAGAAGAAGAAGUUGCAGAAAGGGUAGGAAGAAGAAGAAGAAGAAGAAGAAGAAGAGGCAUUUGAGUUUGGGUUUUGAGAUUUUGAAAUAGCGGGAUUUUUAGUGAGGGUUAAUUUUGUCAAUUCACGUGUCCCAAACGGCUAUUUUUUACGGAAGGACUACGAAUUUGGACAGAAAAGAAAGUGAGGGACUUAAGUAUUGGGUCGCCAAAAUAGAGGGACAGAAGUAUUAAUUACGUUAAACCUCAGGGACUAAAAAGUAAUUUUCCCUUUUCUAAAAUUCCUAUAGUAUACUUGAUUGACCUAUUCGCUAGUUGCAAUGAGAUAGUAGUAGGCUUGAAAUCAGCUAUUUUCAACUUCUGAAAGAUAGAUAGAGGCAAAAUACUUACACUUGCUCCCAAGUCAAAUAAAACUUUCCAAUGUUGGUUUCACCAAUUUGGUAUGGGAUUGAGAAACGUUCCGGGUCUUUCAACUUUGGAGGUAACUUAUUUUACAACAAAGCACUACAUUCCUCUAUUAAUGUCACAGUCUUAUACUCCUCUAAUCUCCUCUUAUUAGAUAGGAUAUCCUUUAAGAACUUGGCAUAUGAUAGCAUUUGACACAAGGCAUCAAUGAAGAGUAUAUUGACAUAGAAUUUCUUUAAAACCUCAAGGAACUCGCCAAAUUGUAUGUCGAGCUUAGCCUUUUGGAAUCUUUGUAGAAAAGGCAAAAGUGACUUAUAAGGCUCCGGUAGGAUAUAUCUUGCAUCUUCUUCUUUUUCAACUUCUUUUUCUUUCUCAAUCUCUUGUUUUUCACUAACUCUUUCUUUCUUUUCACUCAGCUCAUCUUUCUUCUCUUCUUUUGAAUUGUCUUUUCUCUUAUAUUUUUCUCUCUCAACACACUUUUCUCUCCUCUCUUCUUUUUCUUUCUUCUCAAUCUUAUUUUUCUUUUCACUCUCAUCCCCAACAACUUUUCCAUUUCUUAAAUGAACUGUCUUGCAUUCUCUUAGAUUCUCGGAUUGGCUAGAUAUCUUCCCUUGAGCUUUUCUAGAAGAGCUUGCUUAUUGUGCAAUUUGGUUUUCAAGCAUCUUGUUGUGAGUUGACAAUUGCUCCAUCUUGGAAGUGAGGUGCUUGAUCAAUUCCUCUUGUUGUUGUUGUUGUUGGAGUAGAAACUUCUCCAUCAUUGACUCCAGGGAAGUCUUUUGCUCAAAAAUAGGUUGAGGUUGCUUAAAAUUCAUGUCUUGAUUUCUUCCAACUUGGAACCCAGGUGGUUCUCUAUUUUAUGGUGGAGAAAAGUGUUGUUGUUGAGGAGGAAAUUGCUGCUGAAAAUUAUGAUUUUGCUUCGGUUGUUCAGACCAAGAGUAGUUAGGAUGAUUCUUCCACCCUUGGUUGUAAGUGCUUGAGUAUGGAUUACCCAUGUGUCUUUGCCCAUAGUUGUUGACAUAACUCAAUUGUUUAGCUGAAAAAUCUUAUCUUCAGCUUUGAUUGUCAUACCCAAAGCUUGCUCCAUAGCUCAUAUCAUUCAAAGCAUUUACAUUCUUGGCUUCUAUUCUCAUGGUCAUCUUAUCCAUCCUUCUAGCUAAGGCAUCAAACUUGGCAUUGAUCAUUGUCAUAGCAUCAAUCUCAAACAUCCCAGCAGGUUUCUUAGCUUCACUCUUCACAUUGGCUCUUUUAAUAUUCCACUGGUAGUAAGAUAUCUUGUCCAAACAAGCAUAAGCAUCAUCUUCAGUUUUUCCCAUUAAAUCACUUCCUGCAGCUGCAUCAAUUGCACUUCUCAAAUUUGGAGAAAUUGCAUUGUAAAGUAUUGCACUAUCAUCCACUUCGGUAUACCAUGGUGAGGACACUUCCUUUGAAGUUCCUUGCAUAGCUCCCAAGCUUCAUACAAAGACUCAUGCUCCCUUGGUGUGAAAGAAGUAAGCUCAAUUCUCAAAUUAGUUGUUUUGCCUAGAGGUAGAUACUGCUCAAUAGAAGCUUGUGACAACUACUCCCAAGUGGUAAUAGAUCCAGGUGGCAAGGCUAGCUCUAUCUCUUAGUGAAAAUGGAAAAAGGCUCAAUCUGAUUGCAUCUUCAAAAACUCCAUUUAGCUUGAUCAUAUUACUUAUUUCCAUGAAAUUGAUCGAGUGAUAUGGAUUCUCGGUUGGUUGCCCACUAAACUGAGAUUGUUGCACCAUUUGAAACAAUGACAGCUUCAACUAGAAAUUGUUUGCAUCAACCAUCGGUCUCACUAUACUAGGCCAGAAAUUUCCAAAACUAGGAUAAGUAAGAUCUUGAAUUGUUAUAUUAUUUUGUUGAGCCAUGCCUUCUACUUUUUAAGUACCCUCUUCUUCUUGAUAAAUCACUUCUUCAAUGUGAAUUUGAUUAUCUCAUAUAAAAGAAAAUAUCUGAAAAAUUCAAAUUAAAACAAACUAGUAAAAGAUAAUAAAGAGAAAAUUAAAAGAAAAAUAUUCAAAUCAACAAAACUAAUUCUCCAAUAACGGUGCCAAAACUUGUUGUCAUUCUACAAAUAUAUAGAUCGCACAAGUAAUAUAAUAAUCGAGUAGAGUAUCGUUCCCACAGAGAAUUAAUGUUUAAGUACUAGGCUAUGGUUGUAACAAUUAUUUGGACUAAUAAAAUUUAAUACUAAAAUUAGCUAAUUAAGCUAAAAUGUGCAGCAAAUUAAUUAAAAUUAACUAAGAGAUGACAAUUAAGCUAAUUAAUUCUAUACUAGUAAGAGAAAUUAACUACAAAUUAAAAGCAAUUAAACUAAGCAAUGGUAAAUUAACUAGAGAUUAACUAAAAUUAGAAAUUAACAAAGAUUAAAAAUCAAAUAUAAAAAGAUGAUUUGAGAGAUUUGAGAUUCACACUCUAAUUAAUUUGGAUUUUUCUCAAUUUCUAUCAAUUCAUAGGUAUCUAUUGCUUGAAGGAAUUAAUUCCAAAAGUACCUUAAUUCUCUUUCAAUAUAUCAAGGUUGUGCUUUAAUUAAACCAAUUCCUACUUUCAUGGUUCUUGAUUUAAUAAAAAGCCAUUAGGUCCUUUCAAUAAUUUUGAAAUUCUCUCAUACCCUUAAUCAAUUUCUUGAAUCUAAGAAUAUAAGUUUUAAUCCUAAUUUUUCCAUCAUUAAUCUUCAUCUUUCAAUACAUCAAUUAAUGAUUAAAAUAAUACUUUGGUUGACCAAACACAAAGUAAGAGAUUAAAUCACAAGGAAAAGAAUAAAGAUCAAAUACCCAACUCAAAAUUAAAAAUUAGCACAAACCCAUUGAUAGAAAUUAGUUCAAAUCCAAGAUUAAAAUAGAGUAUUACAUACUCAAUCUCUGAAAUUUAAAAUCUACUCCCUAUUCAUAGUAUUUACAAAGAAAAUCUUAAAAUUAAAACAAAGAAAACAUAAAAUUAAUAAAGGAGAAGAAAAACCCAAAUGAAGAACGCUUCAAAUAUUGAUAAUCCAUGCCUAAAGAGCCUCCAUUGGUGAAUUUUCAGCAGCCCCUUUUGUUCUCCACGUGAAAUGAGGAAGAAAAAGGUGAAAAAUGGUGGAAAAUGAGAGAGAGGUGGCUCCUCUUCCCUUUAUUUUUUGGUAUUCUCCCUCCUUAAAACUAAAGAAAAAGACUAUUUAUAUGUCCUAAAAAAAUGCACUAACAGAAUAAAG